rnacentral:rRNA from 1 species
AUUGAACGCUGGCGGCAGGCCUAACACAUGCAAGUCGAACGAGUGGCGGACGGGUGAGAAAUGUCUGGGAAACUGCUUGAUGGAGGGGGAAAACUACUGGAAACGGUAGCUAAUCCCGCACACCAUCAGAUGUGCCCAGAUGGGAUUAGCUUGUUGGUGGGGUAACGGCUCACCAAGGCGACGCGCGCUAGCUGGUAUGAGAGGAGGACCAGCCACACGUGAACUGAGACACGGUCCAAGCUCCGACGGGAGGGCGCAGUGGGGAAGAUUGCACAAUGGGCGCAAGCCUUAUGCAGCCAUGCCGCGUGUAGGAAGAAGGCCUUCGGGUUGUAAAGUACUUUCAGCGGGGAGGCGUUACCCGCAGAAGAAGCACCGGCUAACUCCGUGCCAGCAGCCGCGGUAAUUC